GACGAACGCUGGCGGCGUGCUUAACACAUGCAAGUCGAACGGAAAGGCCCUGCUUUUGUGGGGUGCUCGAGUGGCGAACGGGUGAGUAACACGUGAGUAACCUGCCCUUGACUUUGGGAUAACUUCAGGAAACUGGGGCUAAUACCGGAUAGGAGCUCCUGCUGCAUGGGGGGGGUUGGAAAGUUUCGGCGGUUGGGGAUUGACUCGCGGCUUAUCAGCUUGUUGGUGGGGUAGUGGCUUACCAAGGCUUUGACGGGUAGCCGGCCUGGGAGGGUGACCGGCCACAUUGGGACUGAGAUACGGCCCAGACUCCUACGGGAGGCAGCAGUGGGGAAUAUUGCACAAUGGGCGGAAGCCUGAUGCGGCAACGCCGCGUGCGGGAUGACGGCCUUCGGGUUGUAAACCGCUUUCGCCUGUGACGAAGCGUGAGUGACGGUAAUGGGUAAAGAAGCACCGGCUAACUACGUG
rnacentral:rRNA from 1 species